GGGAGUUUAAAGAAACACCUUGAAAAACAGGAUCAGGAAGAGGGUGAUCACAUUCUGCCACCAUUCACAUUUUCUUAAUUAUUGUUAAUUGUCCCAGUGUAGAGGAAAGCUCCAACAAUGGCCAAAUACAAUGGUUUUUUUAUUAAUGUCUCAGAAAAUUGCUAAGUCAGUAGGAGAAAAUAAGACAUGUCUUCAACUAUUAUCAUUUGGAGAUGUUUUGCUUAUUUUUUGAAACUAGAAAUCUAGUGUGUACUGAAGGCAAAAGGGUUUGCAUUUUUCGCAGGAAUAAAUAACAUGAGGUAACAAGAUUUUGAGAUAGUGUUGAUUUUUGGUGAUUUUGUCACAUCCUCCUUUAGUGUAUGUUUUUAUUUUCUUAUCCUUCAGUUCAACUCUUGAGUUGCUCCGAUGAUCCACCCACCCUGGACCCAUACCCCUGUCUCCAGGCACUGAAUUUUAAGAGGAAAUUCCUGGAGACCCUAAAACCUUCAAGACACAAAGAAUGCAAGAUAGAGAAAAAUAGUGACAGUCAGUUCUUUUGGAGUAAAAUGUCACUGCCUCAAACAUACUUCAUAGGUAUUCAUCACAUACCAAUUCUGAAAUUAGCCUGCUUGUUAUGGUGUUAUGACAGCAAACAGUAUGCAAAGGUUGGCCUAUAUCAUAAUGCUCUGAAUAAACCUUUUGGAAUAUCCCACCAAUAA
rnacentral:lncRNA from 1 species